GCUGGGCAUGGUGGUGCGUGUCUGUAAUCCCAAUUACUCGGGAGGCUGAGGCAGGAGAAUUGCUUGAACCCAGGAUGUGGAGGUUACAGUGAGCUGAGAUUGUGACACUGCACUCCAGCCUGGGUAACAGAGCAAGACUCUGUCUCAC
rnacentral:SRP_RNA from 1 species